UAUCUCAUUUUACACAUUUACCGACAUACAAGGGGUGUAGGUUAUCUCAUUUAUCACAUUUACCGACUUAUAAGGGGUGUAGGUUAUCUCAUUUAUCACAUUUACUGACAUACAAGGGGUGUAGGUUAUCUCAUUCAUCACAUUUACCGACAUACAAGGGGUGUAGGUUAUCUCAUUCAUCACAUUUACUGACAUACAAGGGGUGUAGGUUAUCUCAUUCAUCACAUUUACUGACAUACAAGGGGUGUAGGUUAUCUCAUUCAUCACAUUUACUGACAUACAAGGGGUGUAGGUUAUCUCAUUCAUCACAUUUACUGACAUACAAGGGGUGUAGGUUAUCUCAUUCAUCACAUUUACUGACAUACAAGGGGUGGAGGUUAUCUCAUUCAUCACAUUUACUGACAUACAAGGGGUGCAGGUUAUCUCAUUCAUCACAUUUACUGACAUACAAGGGUGUAGGUUAUCUCAUUCAUCACAUUUACUGACAUACAAGGGUGUAGGUUAUCUCAUUCAUCACAUUUACUGACAUACAAGGGGUGCAGGUUAUCUCAUUCAUCACAUUUACUGACAUACAAGGGGUGUAGGUUAUCUCAUUCAUCACAUUUACCGACAUACAAGGGGUGUAGGUUAUCUCAUUCAUCACAUUUACUGACAUACAAGGGGUGCAGGUUAUCUCAUUCAUCACAUUUACUGACAUACAAGGGGUGUAGGUUAUCUCAUUCAUCACAUUUACCGACAUACAAGGGGUGCAGGUUAUCUCAUUCAUCACAUUUACCGACAUACAAGGGUGUAGGUUAUCUCAUUCAUCACAUUUACCGACAUACAAGGGGUGUAGGUUAUCUCAUUCAUCACAUUUACCGACAUACAAGGGGUGUAGGUUAUCUCAUUCAUCACAUUUACCGACAUACAAGGUGAACAGGUUAUCUCAUUUAUCACAUUUACCGACAUACCUCAUUUGCCUCAUUUACUGACAUACAAAGGGUGCAGGAAGAAACUUUCAUAUUUCAAGCAAUUUUCAAAUUAAAAACAUACGUCAACAUUUACUUUUAAAAAGAUAAAAAAAAAACUCAGGUGGGACAUAUCGCGAUAGGCAGUCGACAAAGACACGGUACUGUGUCGCAAAUCAUCCACCCUUUGUUUGCAAACAAAUCCCGAGCAUGAGCAGAUUGGAUGGGGUGUCUUAGGAUACGUGGAUGGCAGAUGACACCACACCGGUUAAGACACGUAGCAAUGAGCUUAAGUUGGAUAAGUUCAGGUUCAACAAAGACAUAGGCAAGAAUUGGUUUACCAACAGUGAAGUGGUGGAUGAGUGGAACAGACUUAGAAGUCAUGUGGUGAGCGCCAACACGAUAGAUACAUUCAAGAAGAGGUUAGAUAAGUUCUUGGAUGGGAGGGGUAUAGGACGUUAGUUUGGUGCCGUGGUCUGGGCGGCUUGUUGCGUUGUCUCACGAGACCUCC